AAAAAUAAAAGAUACCUGAAAAUGACCGAAACCCUCGAUAUGGCAGUCUAUCGGCGGCUGCCCAACAGUAAGGGUCAUCCCAGACGUUCUGUUCUGGUCGACGUACUGACGAAAAUACUCACAUUGGCACUGAAAACGCAACCGAAAGCUCAAGGAAAUGGACAAGUGGCUGUGAUAUCUCUCGACGUUUUUGGAGCUGGUUUAGGGGUUGCUGAACUCUCGCUGCGACCUAAAAUGGAUCUGUGGACCCCCUUUGAAAUGAACGUAAAAGUAUAUGUAUAACGCUGAAGACAGCAAAACACAUCGUGUGUAUAGAAAACAAAUUUUCAGUAAUGACUUAGCCCAUAACAAAAUGCUAUGAUAAAUAGAGAUAUAGUUUUGGGUGUGUCUGUUUGUGUAUCUGGAUUUUUAUAGUCAUCAUAAUUAGAGAUUACCUUUGGAUGGAUUACGAUGAUAUUUUAGGUAUGGGUAGGUCAAGGAUGUGUCCAUUUGAUGAAUUAGUCACUGGUUCCCCCGACUCGUCCUCUGGACUUCUUGUAAUUUUCUUCUUGUCAAAAACAAUGACUCUUACCUCCUGCAAAAUCUAUAUCGACGAGUAGCACCGAAUGCGAAUCCUGUACAUUUAAACGAAGUGAAAGAAAUGUGACUGCGAAAUAAAGAACGUGCCCAUUGAUAUUAAACAUUGAUUUACUUUAUCAUUCGGUGAAUGUCACACCAUCCCGUGGCCUUUCAAUGAAAAGUUUACAAAUCCCCAACCGACCAAUAGAACCACUUGUUUU